rnacentral:rRNA from 1 species
GAUGAACGCUGGCGGCGUGCCUAAUACAUGCAAGUCGAGCGAACGGACGAGAAGCUUGCUUCUCUGAUGUUAGCGGCGGACGGGUGAGUAACACGUGGAUAACCUACCUAUAAGACUGGGAUAACUUCGGGAAACCGGAGCUAAUACCGGAUGAUAUUUUGAACCGCAUGGUUCAAAAGUGAAAGACGGUCUUGCUGUCACUUAUAGAUGGAUCCGCGCUGCAUUAGCUAGUUGGUAAGGUAACGGCUUACCAAGGCAACGAUGCAUAGCCGACCUGAGAGGGUGAUCGGCCACACUGGAACUGAGACACGGUCCAGACUCCUACGGGAGGCAGCAGUAGGGAAUCUUCCGCAAUGGGCGAAAGCCUGACGGAGCAACGCCGCGUGAGUGAUGAAGGUCUUCGGAUCGUAAAACUCUGUUAUUAGGGAAGAACAUAUGUGUAAGUAACUGUGCACAUCUUGACGGUACCUAAUCAGAAAGCCACGGCUGACUACGUG